rnacentral:lncRNA from 1 species
GCAGCACUGAGAAGUGAAGGAAUAUUUGGGAGGAUCAGAAGCUUGGUCCUGAUUUUGCCAUCAACAGGAACUUGAUGACUUCAAGGGAGUCCCCAAACCCUGGGUUUCUGUUUUCUCAACUCUAACAUGAGGGGCUAGAUGCAUCUGGUUUAGUUAGUCUCCAUGAUGGUUUAGUUCGUCUCCAUGAUCCUGUGAAUUUCAGAUGUUGAAAAUCUUCGGAAAAGCCCUGAAAGAUGAACAGUCUUCACCAACCUCCUCCCUCCAGAAUAUUCCUCAAGAAUAUAAAAUGCCUCAUCAACAUGAGACAACAGCAGGAAGCACCCAUUCGUAGUAAUCCUCUGUAUGGAGGAGGCUGUUACAUAACCACAAAGGCACAAAGCUGCAGUUUUGAGAACAUCUUCCCACGCCAGUUCUAAGCAUUGACUUCAACUAUGGUUGCUAACACAAGAAUCGGCACUGGUGACUUUUGAGCCAUCAAUCAUCCUUUCCUAACACAUGAAUCUUUUGGAAAAUGGUCUCAAAUAGUCAAGACCCCCUGCUGGGAGGAGCUUCUAUCCUGCUCUGUGGAAGAAAUGGGCAUGCCAGAUGCCUGGAAGAUCAGAGGCUCACAUUCCAGCUGUAGGUGGCCCACCAGGUGUCAACAACUGUAGAGUUCCAUCAAGAGUCAUCAUUUUACAGUUACAAGUCGGAGGGGCCUUCACAGAUCCGUCAGGCUCAACACUGCCUCCUUAGUGAGCCUGUGAACCACCCAAGACGGCUGGUCAUCAGUGUCAUCCUCUUCCUUUUCCGGACAACUAUCUUUAAAAGAAAAAAAAAGAGUGUCUUUGAAUGUAUCCAUUUUAUCCCCAAAUAAUCUUGUUUAAUAAAUUCCUUAUUAGGCCAAAUCCAA